UGCCUGGUGUUGGGGGAGGAAGGAGCUUGUUCAGCCCAGUCUGGUGUGGUGUGCCGCCUCUUCUUGGUUCAGCCCGAAGAUUCAGGCCCAUUCAUCUCUGAAGGUUCCAUCCUUAUCUCAUCCUUUCAUAUGAGAUGUUUUGGAAAUUCACCAUGGCAGAAUUUCCAGUGGGAUAUGAAGGAAAUGGAAAACUCAAAGACUUCUCCUUGCCCACUGCUUCACCAUUCUGACAUUGCUCUGAGCGUAAUUUUUUUCCUUAUCCAUAAUAUUUCUGUAGUUUACCUUUCUUUCCAUCAGUUUCUCUUUUAAAGUUGUAGGGUUUGUUUGGAGUAUGAUUUAUUCAAUUUCUAGGGUUUAAAAAUUAUGUAUUCUGUUGAUAAAUCUUUUCCUAUUUUGUUAAUUUGCAUUUAUAAAGAUACAUUUUUCUCUGAGAUUGUUUUUGCUAUACUUAAUAAUUUUGACAUGAUUCAUUAUUGCUUUCAUAUUACUAUUUUUUCAUGCUUUGUUCCUUCACACAUUCAUUGUUUACUAUUUCAUUAUCAAAUCUCCAUUUUUGUCUCAAUAUUUUGCUCAAUCUCCUUGUAAUGAUUAUUGAUAUUCUUCUGUUAUGAUUUUUUAAAGUUUAUUAUUCAGAUUUUAAAUAUUUAUUUGCAAUUUUCCAUGUCCUGACAAAUGGACUAACUUGGAGCACCAAAGUUUCCAUGUAUUUAUAACAAAUAUAUUUGACCCUUAGUGUUCCCAUUCAGACAGAGUAAAUAUUUUAGCUCUAAAAGCUUCAAAAAUUUUGACAAUUCUGGGGGCAUCUGGGUAGCUCAGUGGAUUGAGAGCCAGGCAUAGAGACUGGAAGUCCUAGGUUCAAAUUUGACCUCAGACACUUCCCAGCUAUGUGACCCUGGGCAAGUCACUUGAUCCCCAUUGCCUAGCCCUUACCACUCUUCUGUCUUGGAGCCAACACAUAGGAUUGAUUCCAAGAUGGAAGGUAAGGGUUAAAAAAAAAUGUUGACAAUUCUGUUUUUCAUUGGUUUAUCUUUUUGUAAUACUUGUCCAGCUCUGAAAGAGGUAGAUUAAAAUCUCCCUCAAAUAUUCUCUUAUAUUUUACUUUUUUUUGUAAUUCAGUUAACAUUUCCUGUAUGAAUGUACAUUAUGGGUUAUUUGAUGUAUUUAUGAUUAAUAUUAAUAUUAUAUUAUAUUUCAUAGUUCCUUUAAAUAUAAUGUAGUUUCUUUAUCUCUAUUGAUAGUUUGAUUUUAGUCUUUGCUUUGUCUAAUGGUGUAGACGGAACUCUUGUUUUUUGUGUAUCAUCUGAUCCAUAGUAUAUUUUAUUAAUGGGUUUAGUUUUGAUUCUAUAUGUCUUUGCUUUUUAGAGUUUUCUUAUAAAGUUUGCCUCUCAUUCUAUUGAAUUGUUUAAUCCAUUCUCACUUAAAGUUUUGGUGGUUAGUUUUGUGUUGUUCUCUAUUAUAUCUUUAAAUUCUUUCUUUCAAAAACUCUUUCCCCCUUGAUGUCAGUACUUUGUCCCUAAAAUAGCUUUCUUCACACUACUUUGAUGGGAUCAUAGUUCUACAAGUUAUCUUUUCCUCUCUUCUCCAUUCUAUUUGUCAAUAUUUUCCAAGGUUUUUAGGAUUUUACUUAUACUUUUGAUUUAUUUAAUAUCAAGAGGCAAUAUUAUUUAGCAGGUAGAAAACUGACUAUGAAGCUCAAAUGACUUGGUUGGAACUCCCUAUUCUAAUAUUCUUUAUUGAUUUAUUUAACAUUAUAAUUAUUUCAUCCACUAUCAUCUUUUUAUUCUCUGUUGUGUUAUACACUUAAAAGUAACAAAUUGUGAGAGAUAGAAGUAUUAUUACCUCAUUGUGUAAAUUAUCCUAUGUCUAAAGUUGUGUAGUCCAACUCUAUUCCUUCACACCCACUGAUCAUUCAUCUUCCAUUUCACCUCUUCUAUUGCCCCAUGUACUCCCACUCCCUACACACACCCUUAAGUGUGUUAGUUCUUUCCCAUAUCUCUUUUCUUAGGCCAAGAUGUUUUCCUUAGAGAUACAGCACUCUUUUAGUAAAAAAGGAGCUUCUAAAUAUACCUACUCUCUCCAAAUUAAAUCCAGAAUGGGGUAUUCUUCUUUCCCCAUGAGAAUGAUCUUCAUCAGGUCUUUCUCUUCUCUUUUGGGUUGAGACUAUCCCUGAUUCAAUAUCUCCUUUAGGUAUUCUCUCCCAUUUUCUUUCAGUCCCUCUUCUUCUUGGGAGACAAUGAGCCAUCUCAUUCCUUCAUUGUUGAUACAUGGACUUGAUAAGGAUAUAUCACCUAUUCACCACUGUCCUUCACCUCCUGUCUCACUAUUAAUACACCCUCCCACAAUUUUGUUCCAGAAAAUUUUAUUUAUCAAUGGGGUUAAGGGUUUACAUUGUGGUUUAGUUCAUAGUAUGUUAGUACAUUGUACUACUGUUUUCCUCCACUGAAACUCCUAUUUCUUUAAGUUCAGUUUACAUUUUUAAUUCCCUGGUACUUUUUUUUCUUGAUGUUUCCUCUUUUUAAAACUCUUAAUCAUCACUUUCUUUUAAAAAAAAAUGCUAACCAUGGAGUAAGUUAUUUCACUCUUCUUAUUUUAGUAAUUAUAUUUAUUUGCCUUUUUGUGCUUCUGAUGUUUGGUAUAUUUGCAAGUCAAAUAAUCUAGUCAUAAGCAGGAUUUCAGUUAUUUGUAAGAAUAUCUAAGAUGUUGAAAAUCUGCCUUUAUUUCACUGAUGAUUUGAGAUGCUUCUUGAGCUCCUUUGUUUUAUAUAUAUAUAUAUGUACAUAUAUAUAUAUAUAUAUAAUAGGAGAGAAAGAAAAGGACUCUCAACUUCAUAGAAGGAAAUCAUAGCUCCUUCAUUCUCAAAAGGAUGAAAGAACAAUGCCUGCUACUUGUUGUAAGUUAGGAAUUGGGUAGAGGGAGCAAUGUGCCACUAAAGUUUCUCUAGCAGAAGGAAAUCAUAAAAUUAAAAGUUUUAAAAAAUGAGUUUCAAUUAAUUCAUUGCUGGUGGAGUUGUGAAUUGAUCCAACCAUUUUGGAGGGCAAUUUGCAACUAUGCCCAAAGGGCGAUAAAAGACUGUCUACCCUUUGAUCCAGUCAUAGCACUGCUGGGUUUCUACCCCAAAGAGAUAAUAAGGAAAAAGGCAUAUACAAAAUUAUUCAUAGCUGCACUCUUUGUGGUGGCAAAAAAUUGGAAAAUGAGGGGAUGCCCUUCAAUUGGGGAAUGGCUGAACAAAUUGUGGUAUAUGUUGGUGAUGGAAUACUAUUGUGCUCAAAGGAAUAAUAAAGUAGAGGAUUUCCACGUAAACUGGAAUGACCUCUAAAAAUUGAUGCAGAGUGAAAGGAGCAGAACCAAAAGAAAGUUGUACACAAAGACUGAUACACUGUGGCACAAUCAAAUAUAAUGGACUUCUCCAUUAGUGGCAAUGCAAUGACCCUGAACAACUUGGAGGAAUCUACAAGAAAAAUCACUAUCCACAUCCAGAGGAAACACUGUGGGAGUAAAAACACCGAAGAAAAACAACUGCUUGAAUACAUAGAUCGAAGGGAUAUGGUUGGGGACGUAGAUUCUAAAUGAACAUCCUAGUGCAAACAACAACAUGGAAAUAGGUUCUGAUUAAGGACACAAAGUGAUACCCAAUGAAAUUGAGCAUUGGCUGCGGGAAGGGUGGGUGGAGGGGAGGGAGGGAAAUGAUGCAAUUAUUGUAACCAAGGAAUAAUGUUCUAAAUUGAAUAAAUAAACUAAUUCAAAUGGGAAAAAAUGAGUUUCAGAAAGCUGUAAUAAUAGCUUUAAAAACAAUGGUUAGGUUAUCUCAUUUCUUUUGGUUGUAUCUGAAUCUUUAUGACCCCAAUUGAAGGGUUUUUUUGGGCAACAUUGUUAUAUGUCUUGCUUAAGUUUUUAAUAUAUUGAAAGAGUAAACUUUAAUAGACUCAUUCAAAUUGCAUAGAAUUCUGUACUUUUCCUACAUAUAUCUUAGAUGACAAAUGUCUAUUGAAGGAGAAAAAGCAUUUUGAGUCUUGAUCAAACAACUUAAAAUUUAGCAUUUUGAGAACCCAACAGGUUUCUAAAUGGUGAAUUACCUUUAUAGAGAGUAAUAGAAAUUAUAGUUUAGUUACUUUAAAAAAUUACUACAUCUGGAAAAAUAAUUCAAAGAACCUUGUACUAUGGAUCAUCUUAAGAUUGUUGGGGGCCAUCAGGACACAAUGUUUGACAUGAUCACUUGUGAAAACCGGAGGUCACAAAGUGACCCCCAGGAAGGAUAGAGACAUUCACUCAGACCCCCUUUGUGUGACUUUUCUCACAUCCCUUAUUAUUGGAAUUGUUCCCCAGGAGAAAAUAGAUGAAAGCUACAUGCUUGCAGGGUUAAUGCAGAUGUCCCACUCUGUCCUCCCAGAAUAUAACCACGAGAUCUCACUUACAAAAUUAAAUGUAAGGAUUCUUAUAUACCCACUUAGAUAGGACCCUCUUUUCUAGGCAUAAAACUUCUGGCAAAUCUGUGCACAGAAUUUCCCCAACCUAAAACUGGGCCAUGUUGAUUCUACCCUUUAACCCAUCACUUAGCAACAGUGUUUUGUUGAUUAUCUCCUUUGACUUCAUAUCUGUUGUUAGGAUCUAUGGAAACAUGUAUGUUGAAAAAUGAAACUGUAUGCCAAGUACGUAUGUAACCAUGAGGUAUAAAAAUAAAGCCAAGCCUGGGUGAAGGUAGAGCAGUUUUUCUGUGAAACCUGUGCUGUGGGUUGAAUAUGAAAGCUGACAUCAUCCCACCUCCAAGACCCCAUCCCUUGUGGGAAGCUGGACCACCUCGCAGAAUAAGAUAAACACAUUAACCUUAAUAUAUCUAUAGAUAUACAACCACUUCUACAUUAUCCCCAUUCAGAUUAUACACAGCACUAAAAAAAAUUAGUGGUGAGUAUUUUCCUUGACUUUCUCUCUAGUGAUCUGUUUUCUUAGCAAAGAUAUAAAUAUUGAACCCAGGUCUUCCACUUUCCAAGGCUAAUCUUUGGCAAAGAUGAAAAAGAGAAAACAAAAAUAAAACAAUCUUCACAUUCAGUGACCUAACAUUAAGGCAGAUAAUCUUUUGUGUAUAUAGAUAUAUUCGUACAUAUGCACAUAUACACACAAAACUGCAUAUAUGCACAUAUGUGUAUGGAAUGUGUAUAUGGACAUGCAUGUAUAUGGACAUAUAUGAGUAUGUAUGUUAUUAAAAAUAUAUCAAAGGCAUCGCAUGUAGAAUGUACAUAUGCGCAUAUACACACAAAUUUGCACAUAUGUAUGUGGACAUGCUUAUAUAUGGACAUGUGUGAGUAUGUGUGUUAUUAAAAAUAGAUCAAAGGCAUCGCAUGUAGAAUGUAGAGUUUGAGCUAUGUAUUUGAUAUCACUUACAUAAAGCAUUUAGGAAGUUAAACAUAGUAUAAAAGGCAUAUACUAAGAAUGUCAUUGGCUUCUACUAUGUCAUAUUACUUGUACAACUCUUCUAUGUCAUUGAGAGGGAAGAUAAAUGAUCUAACAGUUCCAUUACACCUCAACACAAGAAGUGCUAGUGUAUACUGGUAGAGCAGUGAACAGAUCCAACCAUUCUGGAGGGAAAUUUGUACACAUGCGCAAGGGGCUUUAAAAGAAUGCCUGCCCUUUGAUUCAGCUAUACCACUGCUGGGGUUGUACCCCAAAGAGAUAACAAGGAAAAAGACUUGUACAAAAAGAUUUAUAGCCUCACUCUUUGUGGUGGCAAAAAAAUGGAAAAAGAGGGGGUGUCCAUCAGUUGGCGAAUGGCUGAAAAAAUUGUGGUAUAUGUUGGUUAUGGAACACUAUUGUGCUAAAAGGAAUAAUGAACUGGAAGAAUUCCAUGUGAACUGGAACAACCUCCAAGAAUUGGUGCAGAGUGAAAGGAGCAGAACCAGGAGAACAUUGUACACAGAGACUGAUACACUAUGGCACAAUCAAAUGUAAUAGACUUUUCUACUAAUAGCAAUUUUAUGAUCCAGGACAAUUCUGAGGGACUUAUGAGAAAGAACACUAUCCACAUCCAGAGAAAUAACUGAGGGAAUAGAAAAGCAUAUGAUCAAUCAUGUGGUUGAUGGGCAUAUGAUUAAGGACUUUAACUUUAAAUGAUCACUCAAUUGCAAAUAUUAAUAUUAUGGAAAUGGGUUUUGAACAAUGAUACGUGUAAAAUCCAGUGAAAUUGCUCUUCAGGCACAAGGCAAUAAAAAUAAUGAUCAGUAAUGGUACAUGGAAAACCAAAUCAAAAACUAAUUGGAAAUUAAACAAUAUGAUACUCCAAAAUCGUUUACUUAGAGAAGAAAUCAUAGAAACAAUAAUUUCACUGAGGAAAAUGACAAUGGCAAGACAUCCUUUCAAACCUUUUGGGAUGCAGCCAAAGCGGUAAUCAGAGGUAAAUUCAUAUCCCUGAGUGCAUAUAUUAACAAACUAGGGAGAGCAGAGAUCAAUCAAUUGGAAAUGCAAAUAAAAAAACUCUAAAGCGAUCAAAUUAAAAACCCCCAGCAGAAAAACAAACUAGAAAUCCUAAAAAUUAAGGGAGAAAUUAAUAAAAUCGAAAGUGAUAGAACUAUUGAUUUAAUAAAUAAGACAAGAAGCUGGUACAUUGAAAAAACAAACAAAAUAGACAAAGUACUGGUCAAUCUAAUUAAAAAAAGGAAAGAAGAAAAGCAAAUUAACAGCAUCAAAGACAAAAAGGGGGACAUCACCUCCAAUGAAGAGAAAAUUAAGGCAAUCAUUAAAAAUUACUUUGCCCAAUUAUAUGGCAAUAAAUACACCAAUUUAGGUGAUAUGGAUGAAUAUACACAAAAAUACAAACUGCCUAGACUAACAGAAGAAGAAAUAGAAUUCUUAAAUAAUCCCAUAUCAGAAAAUGAAAUCCAACAGGCCAUCAAAGAACUUCCUAAGAAAAAAUCCCCAGAGCCCGAUGGAUUCACCAGUGAAUUUUAUCAAACAUUCAGAGAACAGUUAAUCCCAAUACUAUACAAACUAUUUGACAUAAUAAGCAAAGAGGGAGUUCUACAAAACUCCUUUUAUGACACAAACAUGGUACUGAUUCCAAAACCAGGCAGGUCAAAAACAGAGAAAGAAAACUAUAGACCAAUCUCCCUAAUGAAUAUAGAUGCAAAAAUCUGAAAUAGGAUACUAGCAAAAAGACUCCAGCAAGUGAUCAGAAGGGUCAUCCACCAUGAUCAAGUAGGAUUUAUACCAGGGAUGCAGGGCUGGUUCAAUAUUAGGAAAACCAUCCACAUAAUUGACCACAUCAACAAGCAAACCAACAAGAAUCACAUGAUUAUCUCAAUAGACUCAGAAAAAGCCUUUGAUAAAAUACGACACCCAUUCCUAUUAAAAACACUAGAAAGCAUAGGAAUAGAAGGGUCGUUCCUAAAAAUAAUAAACAGUAUAUAUCUAAAACCAUCAGCUAAUAUCAUCUGCAAUGGGGAUAAACUAGAUGCAUUCCCAAUAAGAUCAGGAGUGAAACAAGGAUGCCCAUUAUCACCUCUACUAUUUGACAUUGUACUAGAAACACUAGCAGUAGCAAUUAGAAAAUAAAAAGAAAUUGAAGGCAUCAAAAUAGGCAAGGAGGAGACCAAGUUAUCACUCUUUGCAGAUGAUAUGAUGGUCUACUUAAAGAAUCCUAGAGAUUCAACCAAAAAGCUAAUUGAAAUAAUCAACAACUUUAGCAAAGUUGCAGGAUACAAAAUAAACCCACAUAAGUCAUCAGCAUUUCUAUAUAUCUCCAACACAGCUCAGCAGCAAAAACUAGAAAGAGAAAUCCCAUUCAAAAUCACCUUAGACAAAAUAAAAUACCUAGGAAUCUAUCUCCCGAGACAAACACAGGAACUAUAUGAACACAACUACAAAACACUCUCCACAAAACUAAAACUAGACUUGAGCAAUUGGAAAAACAUUAACUGCUCAUGGAUUGGACGAGACAAUAUAAUAAAAAUGACCAUCCUACCCAAACUUAUUUAUCUAUUUAGUGCCAUACCCAUGGAACUCCCAAAAUAUUUCUUUACUGAUUUAGAAAAAAACAUAACAAAUUUCAUUUGGAAUAACAGAAGAUCAAGGAUAUCCAGGGAAAUAAUGAAAAAAAAAAACACACAAAUGAUGGGGGCCUUGCAGUCCCAGACCUUAAACUAUAUUACAAAGCAGCAGUCAUCAAAACAACUUGGUACUGGAUAAGAGACAGAAAGGGGGAUCAGUGGAAUAGAUUGGGGGCAAGCGACCUCAGCAAGACAGUAUACGAUAAACCCAAAUAUCCCAGCUUUUGGGACAAAAAUCCACUAUUCGAUAAAAACUGCUGGGAAAAUUGGAAGACAGUGUGGGAGAGAUUAGGAAUUGAUCAACACCUCACACCCUACACCAAGAUAAAUUCAAAAUGGGUGAAUGACUUAAACAUAAAGAAGGAAACUAUAAGUAAAUUGGGUAAACACAGAAUAGUAUACAUGUCAGACCUUUGGGAGGGGAAAGACUUUAAAACCAAGCAAGACAUAGAAAGAGUCACCAAAUGUAAAAUAAAUAAUUUCGACUACAUCAAAUUAAAAAGCUUUUGUACAAACAAAACCAAUGUAACUAAAAUCAGAAGGGAAACAACAAAUUGGGAAAAAAUCUUCAUAGAAACCUCUGACAAAGGUUUAAUUACUCAAAUUUAUAAAGAGCUAAAUCUAUUGUACAAAAAUCCAAGCCAUUCUCCAAUUGAUAAAUGGGAAGGGACAUGGAUAGGCAGUUUUCAGAUAAAGAAAUCAAAACUAUUAAUAAGCACAUGAAGAAGUGUUCUAAAUCUCUUAUAAUCAGAGAGAUGCAAAUCAAAACAAUUCUGAGGUAUCACCUCACACCUAGCAGAUUGGCUAACAUGACAGCUAUGGAAAGUAAUGAAUGCUGGAGGGGAUGUGGCAAAGUAGGGACAUUAAUUCAUUGCUGGUGGAGUUGUGAACUGAUCCAACCAUUCUGGAGGGCAAUUUGGAACUAUGCCCAAAGGGCGAUAAAAGAAUGUCUACCCUUUGAUCCAGCCAUAGCACUGCUGGGUCUGUACCCCAAAGAGAUAAUGGAGAAAAAGACUUGUACAAAAAUAUUCAUAGCUGCGCUCUUUGUGGUGGCCAAAAAAUGGAAAACGAGGGGAUGCCCUUCAAUUGGGGAAUGGCUGAACAAAUUGUGGUAUAUGUUGGUGAUGGAAUACUAUUGUGCUCAAAGAAAUGAUAAAGUAGAUGAAUUCCAUGGAGACUGGAACGACCUCCAGGAAGUGAUACAGAGGGAGAGGAGCAGAUCCAGGAGAACAUUGUACACAGAGACUAAUACACUGUGGUAUAAUCAAACGUAAUGGACUUCUCCAUUAGUAGCGGUGUAAUGUCCCUGAACAAUCUGCAGGGAUCUAGGAGAAAAAACACUAUUCAUAAGCAGAGGACAAACUGUGGGAGUGGAAACACCGAGGAAAAGCAACUGCCUGACUACAGCAGUUGAGGGAACAUGACAGAGGAGAGACUCUAAAAGAACACUCUAAUGCAAAUGCUAACAACAUGACAAUGGGUUCGAAUCAAGAACACAUGUGAUACCCAGUGGAAUCACGUGUCGGCUAUGAGGGGUGGGGGGGAGGAAAAGAAAAUGAUCUUUGUCUUUAAUGAAUAAUGCUUGGAAAUGAUCAAAUAAAA